CUUCCCUCCAAACCUAAACCUAUAAUGCGCCUUCCGCACCAAACCCACUCCGUCGAAACCUUCGUCACUCAAGGAGUUUUUGUUGAAACCUUCGUCGCUCAAAAACCUCCUUCGCCAAAACCUUCGCACCCCGGUUUUGUCUUUGUCCACCUCGACUUUGAUUGACGGUGAGGAGGCUGGGAUUCGUCGGUGCUUGUUCUCUGGUAAGGGGAGGGAAUUAGGGUAUCGAGUCUGAUGGAGGGCGAAAAGGGAUCCGGCCUAUCACGGCGGAGGAGGAAGCGCUGAAGAAGAAUAUCAACUACAUCUACUUCUUAGCUUCUCCAUUGACUUGCAAAAAGGAUCAAGCUAAGUGAAGCUUGGUACAUCAUUCCAACAACUAGGAUUUGUGUGUUGGGCUUCUUAAACAAGCUACAUAUACAACUUAAAGGCUUGGAUCAUUAAGUGCCGGAUGAAGUUAAGAAUAUGAUAUGGGAAUCUGUCAAUUUGACAUACAAACUGGACCUAAAAUGAAGGAAUGGGUGUUUGAGCUCUACAAAUUCAAAGUGGCGUCAGUAUAAAACUCACCUCACUAGGACAUUCAUCCAACCAAAUAGAAAUAAUUCGAAGCUUCUGAACAAGAAAAAAAAGUGAACUACAGAGUGCAAGAGGCAAGGCAAACUUAUACCAUCACCGACUUUCUCGAAAAGGAUAUGCGGGUUUGUCUGAAGAAAUAGUAAAUAUUUAGUAAACAUUAAAUUCCUACUUAUGGUUCGUUGAAGUUGGUGUUAAGUACGUUGACUUCAUGUGAUUUUUUGCUUGUAGUCCAGUGACUUAUGUGAUGACGAUGAGAUAAAUAGAGUCAUUCUCUAGAAGAGAGGAUGACUCAACAAAGAAGGGGAAUUUGUCGACGAUGAGUUGAAGCAAACAGUGAAUAAGAUUGAUGAUUAUAUUGUGUAAAAGAAGAAUGGUAAGUUGUCCUUUACCAAACCAUUUGAAGAUAUUCUCACGAAGGCCUUCAAUUCUUACUAACACGGUGGAUGUAUGAGAGGCAUAGGAGCAAAUGUCACUCCGUCAUCCUUCUUCAAGGUUGCUAGAGGGAAGGUGCAAGUUGAUAAGGAUGUCUAUGAUAGGCAACAGAAAGAGUUUAUGGAGGCAAAAGCUAUGCUUUCUGAGCAAGGUGAAAGAAUAGAAAAAUUGGAAGCAAUGGUGUACAAACAAUGUGGACGAGAAUUUGAGAGUGGGGAGAAGGAUAGUUGCUCAGUCAAACCCCAAUACCCCCCUCAAUAUAAAACCUGAAGUUGAACUUCAAAAGGGCCUCUCAAAUGAAGGCCUUGAUGAUGAUGUGAAAUUUAUUGAGAAGGGUUCGGCUUUACAGGUGAAAUAUAUAUUUCACGUUGAUAUUAUUAUCUCAUUGUCAGUAUAUAAUGGGGCUUGUAAAACACUAUAUCUUGAUGAUUCAUGAAUUGUUUGUCUUAUGGGGUAAAAUAGUGAUGUUGUU